GACGAACGCUGGCGGCGUGCUUAACACAUGCAAGUCGAACGGAAAGGCCCUGCUUUUGUGGGGUGCUCGAGUGGCGCACGGGUGAGUAACACGUGAGUAACCUGCCCUUGACUUUGGGAUAACUUCAGGAAACUGGGGCUAAUACCGGAUAGGAGCUCCUGCUGCAUGGUGGGGGUUGGAAAGUUUCGGCGGUUGGGGAUGGACUCGCGGCUUAUCAGCUUGUUGGUGGGGUAGUGGCUUUCCAAGGCUUUGACGGGUAGCCGGCCUGAGAGGGUGACCGGCCACCUUGGGACUGAGAGAGGGACCAGACGCCUACGGUACGCAGCAGUGGGGAAUAUUGCACAAUGGGCGGAAGCCUGAUGCAGCAACGCCGCGUGCGGGAUGACGGCCUUCUGGUUGUAAACCGCUUUCGCCUGUGACGAAGCGUGAGUGACGGUAAUGGGUAAAGAAGCACCGGCUAACUACGUG
rnacentral:rRNA from 1 species